AUCAGCAACUAAAACAACAACAACAACAAAAAACAAAGAAACAAACAAGAAUGCAAGCUUUCGUACUGCCAGCUACACUAAGUAUCCUAUUGGCCUGUGUGACACCAUCAUUUCAGUGGGGAGGAUACUACAAUAAACCAGGAAGGAAUUGGCUGAUAAUACAAAUUUAACGAUUCUUCAAACAGUAGGUUUUGGUUUAUCUGGAGAACAUUUCAGAGCUACGAUGAAAGAAUGUAGUAACAUUUUGAAAGAGCAAUCAUUGAGGCUGAAAAUGUUAAUGGGGAGACACCUUUGAUGUUUGCAUAAAGGAGCAAAUGUGAACAUGACUGAUAACUAACAGGGUACUGCCCUGAUGUUUGCAUCCUACAAAGGGCACAUUGACAUAGUAAGAUUGUUAAUAAGCUCAGGUGCAAGCAUGGAUAUUGUCAACACUAGUGGCAUGACAGCACAGACUAUAGCACUACUACGAGGCCAGGGCGAAAUACUUUCGUUUCUUGUUAGCCCAGAAGGAGUACUUGUAAUUUCGUAAAAUCGGCCGUCGAAGAGGUCCACCUAGAGUCUUCACCAGGAUUUGAACACAGGUUUUCCGGUUCCAAGUGCUUUACCCCUCAGCCACAGCAUCUCCAUAAAUUCAUUUAGCGUACACUUAUAUUUUUGAAAACAAUAAUUAUUAACCUUAUCCUUACAUUCAAAAUGUAUAACAUGCUACAUAAAGAGAAACUAAAAAGAUUUAAUCUUCUUACAAAAUUAGAUACAAUUGGCAGCACAAAAAAAUUAUUGUCGUACUUUAAAGAGUGACUUGACAGACUUGGACAAGACUUUUUACCUCGCAAAUAGAAAUGAAU